AGAUACAACAGAGGAAGCUGCAUAUUGGAUGUUGGAGCUGACUUAGAAAUGAAACCCUCAUUUUGUUCACAAGGAAAGGAUUGUUUUUAGCCUGGGUCACUGCUGCAGAGAGAGAUUUUUUUCCCUCUCUCUGUAAUGUUUGAUACUUGAGGGAAAACAGCUGGGCCUGAGCAUGCUGACUCCCUGCAAAGUGCAAUGGGCUGCUGGGGAAUAUGGACUGUACUGUAUGGCUGAAAGUCAAGAGAACAAUCGGAUGAUGAGACUGAGGAGUCGGUGAAGUUUAAGAGGUUACACAAGCUGGUAAACUCCACUCGCAGAGUCAGAAAGAAACUAAUUAGGGUGGAAGAAAUGAAAAAACCCAGCACUGAAGGUGGGGAGGAGCACGUGUUUGAGAAUUCGCCGGUCCUGGAUGAACGGUCCGCCCUCUACUCUGGCGUGCACAAGAAGCCCCUUUUCUUUGAUGGCUCUCCUGAGAAACCUCCCGAAGAUGACUCAGACUCUCUCACCACGUCUCCAUCCUCCAGCAGCCUGGACACCUGGGGGGCUGGCCGG
rnacentral:sRNA from 1 species